ACCCCAACAGCUAGCCCCCCCUAAGAAUUACAACAAACAACAUUAAUAACCCCAUAUUUAGUCCAUUCUAGCAACAAACCAUUUUUCCCCCCAAGUAUGGGAGACAGAAAAGGAAGCCUCCGGAGCGACAGAAAAAGUACCGCAAGGGAAAGCUGAAAGAGAACUGAAACAACCCAGUAAAGGCCCGAACAGCAGAGACCUCCCCUCGUACCUUUUGCAUCAUGAUUUAGCGAGCACCUUUCAAGCAAAGAGCCCUUUAUGUUUGUAACCCCGAAACUUAGCGAGCUACUCCAAGACAGCCUAUUAUAGGGCCAACCCGUCUCUGUGGCAAAAGAGUGGGAAGAGCUUUGAGUAGAGGUGAUAGACCUACCGAGCCUAGUGAUAGCUGGUUGCCUGAGAAUUGAAUAGAAGUUCAGCCUUUUAAAUUUUUUACUCCCCAAGGGCAAGACCCUAAGUCCGACCAAGAAAUAGUUAAAAGAGUAAGUCAAGAGAGGAACAGCUCUCUUGAAUAAAGACACAACUUUAAAAGAAGGUAAAAGAUUAUAUUAAUCAAGGUUGUACACCUGGGUGGGCCUAAAAGCAGCCAUCCCCAAUGAAAGCGUUAAAGCUCAAGUGUAUAAGCCCAAUAAUCCCAGUAACCCUUAUUUUAAGCCCCUUGAAAUAUCAGGCCCACCCAUGCAACCAUGGGUAAGACAAUGCUAAAAUGAGUAAUAAGAGAGGAUAAGCCUCUCUCAAGUGCGCGUGUGUAAAUCAGAACGAACCCUCACUGAAAAUUAACGCCCCCAGUCCAAGAGUGAAAUGGGUAAAACCAAUUAACACAAGAAAAACCCCCAACAUAAUAAGCGUUACCCCCACACUGGAGCACCUCAUGAAAGACAAAAGGGGAAAGAAGGAACUCGGCAAACACUUGGCCUCGCCUGUUUACCAAAAACAUCGCCUCUUGCUUUAUCGUAUAAGAGGUCCCGCCUGCCCUGUGACUCGAAAGUUUAACGGCCGCGGUAUUUUGACCGUGCGAAGGUAGCGUAAUCACUUGUCUUUUAAAUAGAGACCUGUAUGAAUGGCAUAACGAGGGCCAAGCUGUCUCCUUUCCCUAGUCAAUGAAAUUGAUCUGUCCGUGCAGAAGCGGACAUGCUAACAUAAGACGAGAAGACCCUAUGGAGCUUAAGACAACAAAAUGUACCAAGUUAAACACCCGGAGCCCUCCGGACUAAACAAACUGGCCCAUAUUUUACUGUCUUUGGUUGGGGCGACCGCGGGGGAACAAAAAUCCCCCACGUGGAACGGGACCCACCCCGAAACUAGAGCCACAGCUCUAAUUAGCAGAACAUCUGACCAAUAAGAUCCGGCACCGCCGAUUAACGGACCCAGUUACCCUAGGGAUAACAGCGCAAUCCCCUUAUAGAGCCCAUAUCGACAAGGGGGUUUACGACCUCGAUGUUGGAUCAGGACUUCCUAAUGGUGCAGCCGCUAUUAAGGGUUC
rnacentral:rRNA from 1 species